rnacentral:rRNA from 1 species
CAUGCAAGUCGAACGGGAACCUUUGGACUCGUCUGAAGGUGAGAGUGGCGGACGGGUGAGUAACACGUAGGUGACCUACCCUGGAAAGGGGGACAACCACUGGAAACGGUGGCUAAUACCCCAGAUGUAUUCUAGUUUAGAAGUAGAAUACUAAAGCUCCGGCGAUCCAGGAGGGGCCUGCGGCCCAUCAGCUAGUUGGUGAGGUAAUGGCUCACCAAGGCAGAGACGGGUAGGGGGCGUGAGAGCGUGACCCCCCACACUGGUACUGAGACACGGACCAGAUACCUGCGGGUAGCAGCAGCAAGGAAUAUUGCCCAAUGGACGCAAGUCUGAGGCAGCAACACCGCGUGGAGGAUGAAGGCUUUCGAGUUGUAAACUCCUUUUCUGGGGGAAGAGAAAGGACGGUACCCCAGGAAUAAGUCUCGGCUAACUACGUGCCAGCAGCCGCGGUAAAACGUGGGAGGCGAGCGUUAUCCGGAUUUACUGGGCGUAAAGCGCAUGCAGGCGGUUUUCUAAGUCGGACGUGAAAGCUCCUGGCUCAACUAGGAGAGGCCGUUCGAAACUAGGAAACUUGAGGAUGGUAGAGGUAAGUGGAAUUCCAGGUGUAGUGGUGAAAUGCGUAGAUAUCUGGAGGAACACCAGUGGCGAAAGCGGCUUACUGGGCCAUGCCUAACGCUCAGAUGCGAAAGCUAGGGGAGAGAACGGGAUUAGAAACCCCGGUAUUCCUAGCCGUAAACGAUGUCAACUAGGCGUGGGAGGUCAUUGACCCUUCUGUGCUGUAGCUAACGCGUUAAGUUGACCGCCUGGGGACUACAGCCGC